rnacentral:lncRNA from 1 species
AAAAUUUAAUCAAAAUUAAUUUAUUUACAUAAAAAUUUAAAGCGAGUCUUCUAUGGUAAAAAAUCCUAACAUUGGAUUAAAGCAAGAACUUUUUCUUGCCUUAGUCCAAUACUGACUUCCAAUAAGAAAGGUAUCCAGUAGCCAAUUAGCCUAUAGCAAACUGCCUAAAUGCAUCAGAUCAAAUACCCAGGACAAGUUCAACUCAAAUAAAAAGACAGGAAACCAUUGUUGACCAGCUUUUCAGCAAGCAUAUUGUCACCAAUCCCUUUGGACCCUGGCAUUUAUACAAAUUUACCAUAUUAGUGGUCAGUUCCACAAUAAGAUGGUGACAUUUCCAGAUGAGUUUUAAAAUAAAAUGGGAAUUAUCAAGUAUUUUUAAUGCAACAUUGAUUAUCUGACAGAAUGUAAAUAUUUUAAUAUUUUAUUAAAAUAUCUCUUAUCGACAUUAAUUCUAACAUAAAAAGAAAUAGCUGAAAGAAGUAUCAAACUAUCUAAAGGAAUGAGAAUAAGCUGUUUUUAUUCGCUUAUAAUAAAUCUCUAACUCUACACCAGUAGAAAUUUUGGAGCACCAGUAGAAAUUUUGCAUACAGAACAGUCCAUCAUUAAUACUGUGUCCAAAAUUAUCUAUCCACUCCUCUACAUUGGGAAAAAUAACAGUGAAGAAUUUGAAAGAAAUUGAACUUGGGCACUAUGUGAUCCUUAUCAAUCUCUAGAAUGUGAUUACAUGCCUUAAAACACUCAAAAAUCAAAUGUUUUACCUUAUGGAUCUGUAGUGAUUUGUUAAAUAUGACUCCAAUGUCCUAUAUAAUAAUUCACUUUAUUAGCUAUAUACAAGGCUGGUGAUACAUAGUACUGAUACGUGUUGCUUCGUCAGAGAGUAGACACUAAGUGGUCGUCCUCCGAGUUGACAUUGCCGCUUUCGUGCUUCCCACGAUCUUCUUUACAUGCCACAAAGUAUCCCCCAGUGAGCUAGUGAACGGAAUUGAAAUUUAUCCUCUCUUGUGUUCAUGGUUGUAUGUAGGUAACGUAUCAUCUAGGGCAGUGGUUCUCAACCUUCCUAAUGGCGCGACCCUUUAAUACAGUUCCUCAUGUUGUGGUGACCCCUAGCCAG